CGUUAUCCAGGUUAUGACUCGCUCGACGAUCCAGAAAUUUCGAUUAGCCAGUGACUGAAUCAUACUUGUAUGCUAAAUAAAAACGGACGAAAAUCGAUGAUAUCUAUGUUACAAUUAUCGAUUGCUGUUCAAACUCGAAACUCAACAACCCAGGCAAUUACGAGGCUUAAUGGGUGCAGAUAAGUGAAGGACAGACAAGCAAUUUGCAAUUCAAUGCUUAACGCGGUAGACACCGAUCGAUAUUUAAACCUAUGUAGCUUUCUCUUAUGACCAAUAAUAUUCGUUUCGUCAAGGGUUGACUUUCUAUAGAAAACACAGAAAUGUCACAUAUAUUUCGAAUGUUAUAAUAGCAUAUUUAAUAUGAUUUAUAAAAUAACGGAAGUAUUGAACAAUUAAAAUGUUCUCAAGUAUAGGUUAGGUCGAGGUUAGGUACAGUAUAAAUGUCUGAAAAGAAAUUCUUGGGCUUUACAAUACAGGUUAAUAAUUAUGAAUUAAAAUAAGAAAAAACAUUACAGGAACGAAUUGAAAAAUAACUCAUAGUUAAUGAAAAUAAAAACUGAUAUACGAUAUGUUUAUUUUUUUAAAGCGCAAUGGCCGAAUAAUACUUGGAAGCACAAAUUUAUUCGAAAAUGCAAUUCUGGUAUUAAAAUAAAAAGGGCAAUACCGGUGUCGCAAACCAGCUGUCAAAACGAAAAUGUGUGAACGAGGGAAGAUAUAAAGUAGAAAAUGAAUAAUGUAAAUCCAAAAUCCAUUUCACACAGACGCUAGAAGACAUUCGAGCGAAAUGUCUAGACGCUGUUGAAAGCCGGUACAGUACAAAAAGGAGCCAUGAUACGCUUUUACAGAUGACAAGUACCUGUAAUCCCGAUUCGUAUAUAUACACAUACAUAUAUAUUUACAUGCAUAUGUAUAUACAUAGAUGGGGGUAGAAAACGAAAGAUCUCGUGGAUCUUAAUUACAGUUUCAGUAUCGAUAAACCUAUUCCAUUGGACGAAUAUUGCUCUGCUUAACGUACACUCGAGAAUACUACAAGCGCAGAUUCCAACUUUUUUUUAAGAAACGUACAUAUCUUCUCUCUUGUGUAUAUAUUAUAUGUCAUGUACUUAGAAAACAUUCUCACAGCAUCACCAUUUAACUAUGAUACUCUGUACAACACACGUCUAUACAUUGAGCUUUCCUCGUCGAAGGCUUCCCGAUCCUCGACCUUGGUUAUUAUCAUUUACGCUGGUACUUGCAUGUGUGUUAGUUUAUGGUAUGUACAAUUAUAAUGUAUAUAGAAUAUAUAUAUAUAUGUACGCAUGUAUAAAUAUAUAUAAUAUAUCGUAUAAACACACGUAUAGAUCAACGAGGGACUCUGAACUUCCUUCUUUUGUUAUCCGUCCAACGAUAUCGUUUCCAACAAGGAUUUGUCGGUAGUGAAAGAUAAAGCGGAAGAAGUGGCGGCCAUUUCUUUUCUUCGAAUUUCAGUUAAUGUAGGAAUCUUGAAGAUAUUACGAAAAGUCUUUUCUUUCGCGUUCUAUAGUCUGGUGUUUGACGUCAAUUUAUUUGCCUUCCUCACUAUCUUUUCAUCAUCUGUACACUUUACGUUCAAACGAAUGUAAAUUUCUAAGCAUUCAUUAUUUUUCUUCUUCAAAUCCAUACGAAAUUCAGCAAGUGUCCUAAUACUUUUGAGCGAAAGUGUAUACGUAACUUUAGUUUUCAUUUCGUAUAGUAUGCUGCAAUUGGUUAAGAGGAUUAGGUUCUUACGUCUAAGAAAAGGAAACGAAUCAAACGUAACAAUAGGAAUAAAUAGAAUGAAACACAGAGAAAGAGAGAUCGAAUGAAACUUAAGUUAUGUUCGUUGAACAUUUUAAUCUUUGUUUCGUUUUUAAUUGCUGUUUCGACGAGAAUCUUAUUGUCAUCGAAGCAGCAAGAAUCAAGGGGUUAAUUUUCAAGUGUUCGCGAAGAUUCAACACGUUGGCUACUAUUAUGGAAUCAGGAUAAUAUGAAUUAUUAACAUCUUAUCGCUAUACAAUUUAACAGUAAAUAAAAAUUGAAAGUAAUAAAUCAUAUUAUCAAGUUGUUCGUUGGAAUGACCACCGAUGACUCCUGAAGACAGUCAACGCGUUAAUUUCCAUGUCGACUCUCCCUUGUCGCUCUUGUCGCACCAGAAAGAACUAAAAUAUUCAACGAAGAACAGUGGAAUCAAAUAAAAUAGCUCUUUCUCGAUUUUUAAUUUAUACAUUUUUUUUCGACAGGUCGAGACAAGGAUACACAGUGCAUCGAAACGCUAUAAUUUUCCUAUUAUAUCCUUGAAUUUUGUCAACAAAGUAUCGUAUGUACAAAAUCUGUGUAACAGAUCGAAGUUAAAUAGAAGAGCAAAGAAGCUGGAAAGAGACCGUCGUGUAAAGAGAAACAAGCAAUUUUCAACGAAUACGUUAAACAGAGUUAACAGAAAAACUUUAGUUCUUUCAUAAGUUAUAAAUUGAAACACUUUAUUAAGGGAUUACACGCGUAAUGACAGAGAAUCAAAGCGGAUAUUCGAUGUACACGCACAGAUAACAAGAUUGCUCUCUGUUCCUGCCCGGUAGAUAAGAUAAAAAUAAAUUCAUUUUUUCCUUUAGUGGCUCUUCGUGUUUAUAUAAACAACUAUGCAAUUAAGAAAUAUCUCUUAAGAAGGAUAUUGGUCUUUUUUCUUUUCUUCGAGUACACACGUACGUAUAUACAUAUAUGUACGGUAUAUUGUGUUGUUACGUUAAACCUGAGCUGAGAGAACAAAUAAAAAUGGAAUGUAUUUUUAAAACUUCAUAUUUUUUUGUUUCCUUUUUUUCUUUUCUUUUUUUUUUUAAUAAUAAUGUAACAAUGUAUUCGGUUAAAUAUCCAUGAACAUCAACAUACAGGUGUCUCUUAUCUACGUUACAAAUCGUCAAGAGAAGAAAACGAAGUACUAUUUUCUUUUUCUUCCAUUGUCCAAAGAAUAUAAAACUGUAGUAAAAAACCUAAACUCUUUGUAUCUCUUUAAUUCGCGCUUAUACAAACCGAACUUAUGUAGUUUCUUUUCUUUUCUUUUUUGCUUUUUUACAAAACGCGCUAUUACAAAAUAAAGCAGCGAAUACACAACGAGGGAUGAGGGGGGGCUAAAAGGUUCAAACGAGAGAAAUAGUAACUAAAGUUUUUCCUAAGUCACUCUGCGAAUGAUCCUUACAUAGUAGAAGAUACUAAAUAAACAAAAAAUAUUAUCAACAUCAAUAGUAUCUCUAUUCUUUCGUUCGUUUUCGCUGGAACGACGAAAAAUAAAUUAAAAGAGGAACGCGCGCAUCGUUAAAUAUUUUACAAGAUUUAUUUAUCCGUGACUGAUGCAGUGUUGGAUCAAGAUUCGAACAUGGACGUCAAAAGAAAAAUCUCUCCUGUGAAAAGAAGGAAAAUAAGAAAAUGUGAGGCGAGAGAUAUUUUCUUUCUUUCGUAAUAUAAAGUAAUAUAAUAAUAUAAUAUUAGGAGUGUGCAAAACCAAAAUUUAUAAAAAUACAUCCGAGCUUUUAAUGAUACGAUACAAUGAUUAGAAAUAGGGGUAAAAAAUAAUGAAAUAAGCAAAUUUAAUUAGAAGCAAUGAAAAUGUUUGCACACCCCUAAUACAAUUUUCGUUUUUAUCUGCAAGUUCACGGUUCGUGCUGUUUUAUUUUACCGUGAAAAAAAUCGCGAUAUAACUAUUUAAAAAAAAAAAAAAAAAAACAAAUUGAAUAAUUAUAUAUAUAUAUAUAUAUAGAUCUAUAUAUAGAGCGUUGUAUCGUUCGCAUCUCGUUACAAUAAUAAAUUACUAGGAACGUCGACGUACCAAACCGACACGUGCCGUUCUCACUUUUUUCGUUCUUCGAAAACGAUUUCCUUUUUCGUGAUGUUCGAAUGCAACUUUCUUAACACUUUAUCGACAGUGCCAUAUAGCGCACAGUUACUUAUUACACAUAGAAAUAUAAAUUGAAUCUAUUUUCACGAAAAGCAUAAAAACUUUAGCAAUCCAGGGUGAAUACGGUAGAGCUCCAUUUAUUUGAACGAAAUUUCAUCGAAUACUCUAUCAAAAAUAUUUUUUCCAUCAACUGGAAGUUGGUCUUCUAACCGGAAGCGUGUCGUUACCUGCACACAUUUUUUAUUUGACGCUGGGCUGAUGUCAUCGUCAAAUUUGGCAUCAAUAAAGUGUUAAGAUUUUCUAUCCUCGUGAUAGCUUCGGAACAUCUUCGAAAAAGUGAGACUAUAAGCUAUUUUGUUAUUUUUUUUCUUGGAAGUUUGUACAAUCUUAGUUGGUUAGUUGAUUAAACAAAUGAGAUUAAUAAAUAAAAUAAAGUAGGAGAAUUGGCACGUGUCAGAGUUCGACGGUCCGUAUGAACGGUUUACUACCAAGAAAGGUAUACCACUUUCAGAUGUACAACACUGCCCUAAAACACAGCCAUACUAAGCCAAAUACUUUUGGAUUUUCUGUCGUUACAAAUAUUCGCGUUUUAUCUUUUCCCUUUUUAAUUAGGAAAAUUAAUUCGUUUAAAUCUAUGGUCGGUUAGCGUCCGUAUGUUUGCUUUAGUCUAUUCUUCCUUUUAGAAAUUUUGUGUAAAACAUGUAAGGAUGUACCGCACGAUUUGAUCGUUAAAUCGUUUAUUAAUUGUCUCUUUUUUGUAAUUUUAAAAACGUAAAUCCAGAGUGUUCUUUAUAAAUACGAAGGAACAAAAAAUAAUGAACAUGUAAAUGGAAAAAAAAUACAAAGAAAAGGAUGCGACAAAGAAAGAAUGUACACCGAGAGGAAUGUCUUGUUAACGUUCAUAGUGUUCAUAAUUUCGCACAUAAAUAGAAUAAAUAAACUUUAAAAAAAAAAGUACAGAAACAGUCUACGUAUUUCUUUCUUGCAGAAAAUGUCAAAAUUUUCUUAAAUCUACGUAAGAAAAAAGAAUCUUCGAAUUACCUUGAUAAUUAAAACGAAAAAAAAAAACAAGAUUGAUUCUAAUCAAAUUUAUCUCGUUUAUCUCAAUUUUAUUCUUUCUUGUCUUUUCAGUUACGGAAGAAGACGUAUUCUUUUACUCGUUCGACAAUAAUCAUUCAUUUUUACGAGGUUUCUUUUAUGAGUUCGAAAGGCAUCGAUGUGUACGUAUAUUGCGUGUGUUUGAUUACGAGGUGUAAUAAAAAGUAAAAAAUUACGGGAUUACCGUAUCCUUACCGCGAGUUUUACUUUUCGAAAAUGGAAGCCGCAACGUUAACGGAAACGCCCGCGUUUGCAGUUUCGAACUUUGUACACCGAUUACGUGCCGUCGAAGAUUUCUAAUUAUAACAAGAAAAAAAAAAGAAACGAAUCGGCUAUAACUUAAUUA